rnacentral:SRP_RNA from 1 species
GAGUGCGGGGCGGGGACGCAGACGAGGAAGGUCUUGUGCUCGGGACCCAAGUGCCUCGCGGACCGGCCGGCAACGGAGCAGCC